rnacentral:rRNA from 1 species
GAUGAACGCUAGCUACAGGCUUAACACAUGCAAGUCGAGGGGUAACAAGAGGAAAGCUUGCUUUUCUUGUUGACGACCGACGCACGGGGGAGUAACGCGUAUCCAACCUGCCUAUAACUAGGGAAUAACCUUGCGAAAGUAAGACUAAUACCCUAUGAUUUCCUUUGAUGACAUCAGAUUAGGAAUAAAGAUUUAUCGGUUAUAGAUGGGGAUGCGUCUGAUUAGCUUGUUGGCGGGGUAACGGCCCACCAAGGCAACGAUCAGUAGGGGUUCUGAGAGGAAGGUCCCCCACAUUGGAACUGAGACACGGUCCAAACUCCUACGGGAGGCAGCAGUGAGGAAUAUUGGUCAAUGGGCGGAAGCCUGAACCAGCCAAGUAGCGUGCAGGAUGACGGCCCUAUGGGUUGUAAACUGCUUUUAUACAGGAAUAAAGUUAGCCACGUGUGGUUAUUUGUAGGUACUGUAUGAAUAAGGACCGGCUAAUUCCGUGCCAGCCGCCGCGGUAA